AUCAACUUUCGAUGGUAGGAUAGAGGCCAACCAUGGUGGUAACGGGUAACGGGGAAUUAGGGUUCGAUUCCGGAGAGGGAGCCUGAGAAACGGCUACCACAUCCAAGGAAGGCAGCAGGCGCGCAAAUUACCCAAUCCCGACACGGGGAGGUAGUGACAAUAAAUAACAAUACGGGGCUCUUUCGGGUCUCGUAAUUGGAAUGAGUACAAUUUAAAUCCCUUAACGAGGAACAAUUGGAGGGCAAGUCUGGUGCCAGCAGCCGCGGUAAUUCCAGCUCCAAUAGCGUAUAUUAAAGUUGUUGCAGUUAAAAAGCUCGUAGUUGAAUUUCGGGAUUGACACAUCGGUCGUGCCUUAAGGGGUAUGAACUGGUGUAGUCAAUUUCUCACCUUCUGGAGAACCGCGAUGCCCUUAAUUGGGUGUCACGGGGAACCAGGACCUUUACUUUGAAAAAAUUAGAGUGUUUAAAGCAGGCAUUUUGCUUGAAUACAUUAGCAUGGAAUAAUAAAAUAGGACGGCAUGAUUCUAUUUUGUUGGUUUCUAGGAUCACCGUAAUGAUUAAUAGGGAUAGUUGGGGGCAUUAGUAUUCAAUUGUCAGAGGUGAAAUUCUUGGAUUUAUUGAAGACUAAACUACUGCGAAAGCAUUUGCCAAGGAUGUUUUCAUUAAUCAAGAACGAAGGUUAGGGGAUCGAAGACGAUCAGAUACCGUCGUAGUCUUAACCAUAAACUAUGCCGACUAGGAAUCAGACGAUGUUAAUUUUUUAAUGACUCGUUUGGCACCUUACGGGAAACCAAAGUGUUUGGGUU
rnacentral:rRNA from 1 species